rnacentral:rRNA from 1 species
GAUGAACGCUGGCGGCGUGCCUAAUACAUGCAAGUCGAGCGAACAGACGAGGAUCUUGCUCCUCUGACGUUAGCGGCGGACGGGUGAGUAACACGUGGAUAACCUACCUAUAAGACUGGGAUAACUUCGGGAAACCGGAGCUAAUACCGGAUAAUAUAUUGACCCGCAUGGUUCAAUAGUGAAAGACGGUUUUGCUGUCACUUAUAGAUGGAUCCGCGCCGCAUUAGCUAGUUGGUAAGGUAACGGCUUACCAAGGCAACGAUGCGUAGCCGACCUGAGCGGGUGAUCGGCCACACUGGAACUGAGACACGGUCCAGACUCCUACGGGAGGCAGCAGUAGGGAAUCUUCCGCAAAGGGCGAAAGCCUGACGGAGCAACGCAGCGUGAGUGAUGAAGGUCUUCGGAUCGUAAAACUCUGUUAUUAGGGAAGAACAAAUGUGUAAGUAACUAUGCACGUCUUGACGGUACCUAAUCAGAAAGCCACGGCUAACUACGUG